rnacentral:lncRNA from 1 species
AAAAAAAAGGGAUUGCAAAUGAAAACAGUUUAAGAAAUCUUUAUUUAACAUUUGAUUCUCCUUUCUCAUUUGUUCUAUUUUUUAUUCUUGCUCUGGAAGUUACUCUUGUAUCUUUAACAAACCACAUCUCCUCCUUGUCUCCUAUCCAGAAAGAAAUCCUCCUUCUUCCCUUAGAAGUUCUGAUGCUGGGGAAACCUGAGUGUUCUUUGGAAUUGUUUAAGCUCACCAGCCAAGUUGGAGCAUGCAGAAUGGAAGAAGCAAUAAAGUGACAUGAGCAAGGAGCAGUUUUCUUCUCAUCUUUCCAAACUCAAAUGUGGAUCUAAAUUUUAUAUGGAAAGCUAAACUUAUCCCUGAAGAUUAAAGUAAGUAAACUAUGAUCAAAUUUUUGAAAAUUUCUCUAAAUCGACUUAGGAUCUUACAUCAUUCACCAAAAAAAGAAAGAUAAAGAAAAUAACCCAUUAAAAUGUUGAGAUAUAUUCUUAGUAUUCCUUAGUAUCUAUA